rnacentral:misc_RNA from 1 species
CAGAGCUGCAAGACUCCCUAAACCAUUGUGAACCUACCUUCUACCGUUGCUUCGGCGGGCGGGGCCCAGCGCCCCCCGGCCCCCCGCGGGCGCCCGCCGGAGGAUACCCAAACUCUUGACAUUAGUGGCCUCUCUGAGUAUUCUUUACUGAAUAAGUCA